GAUCGGAGCCUCUAAGUCUGGUUCUGUGCGACUGUCGUACAACCAUGAUCGACUGGCGAUCAUAUUGCGCUUCCGCUCUUUCGUUCCAGGCACUGCCCUUCACUCAGUAGAGCUUCAGGUUUUGUAAGUGCUAGCUCCCCACCCGGGCCCCCCUUAAUUGCUCCCGCAGACACCUCCAAGCUCGGCUCUCACAGCAGCGGGUUGCUCCCGGGAGCUGGAGCUGAAGUCUGGGUCUCGAGGCGCCCCAAGCGUGGGGUGCUUCGGGGAUUUAAGGAGGAGAAGGUGUGCCGGGGAAGAGGGUGGGCUACGAGCGCGGGUGGGAUUGUGUGAGUCCCAAUGAGGAUGUUUCAUGUCGUCGGCAGUGGCUUGGGGAGGGUCUUUCCCUCUCUUUCUCUCUUUCGCUCGUCUGUUGGCCGUUUGCGAGUGAACGGCCGGGUUUGCUGCUAGGUGGGCCUGGUUGUGGGUCGCGCCUUGGGGUUUGGGUGCGGCCGCGCGUUUGGUCAUGGGCGGCGUGAAGUGCCGCUGGCGCGCGGCCGGCCGGCGUGCGGCUUGGCUGUGUUCUUCUACAGUGUAAGGGCUCUUGGCAGCGGGUCCCGGCUCCCCUUUGUCGCUCUUUCACAGCACGUUCAUCCUGGUCAGCUUCGGCAGAGCCAUGAGAUCCAGGUUAAGGGGGACAGGAGCACGCAAAUGCAAUUCACCGCUGAUGAACCAAAAGCUUUUGGUUAAGCAUUGCCCAGCUUAUACAGGCUUCCUACAGCACGAUGCUUUUGAGCAACG
rnacentral:lncRNA from 1 species